CAACUUGAGAGUUUGAUCCUGGCUCAGAACGAACGCUGGCGGCAGGCUUAACACAUGCAAGUCGAGCGCCCCGCAAGGGGAGCGGCAGACGGGUGAGUAACGCGUGGGAACGUACCAUUUGCUACGGAAUAACUCAGGGAAACUUGUGCUAAUACCGUAUGUGCCCUUCGGGGGAAAGAUUUAUCGGCAAAUGAUCGGCCCGCGUUGGAUUAGCUAGUUGGUGGGGUAAAGGCUCACCAAGGCGACGAUCCAUAGCUGGUCUGAGAGGAUGAUCAGCCACACUGGGACUGAGACACGGCCCAGACUCCUACGGGAGGCAGCAGUGGGGAAUAUUGGACAAUG
rnacentral:rRNA from 1 species